UAAAGGCUGAGAGCCGGCUGAGGAGGAAGGCGCAGCAGUGGGAAACAAAACCUCCCGCUCGCAACGAGGGCCUCCACUUUUUGAUAUGGAGGUGUGUGAACAGGUGCACUACAACACAUGAGACCUGUUCGAUGAGAGCCCUUAGAAGAGAGCCCUUAGCAAGAUGGUGUUCAAGAGGAGGGCUUGAAAUGAUGGAAUAACUUGAAUCUGCAUGGGAAAGCUGACAAGAGUUGGUGGAGGCGACCUUAUCCUCAUUAGCAACAUCUUAAAUCACUGAGUGAAUGUCCUUUCUCAUGUUUCUUGCAGAUGCUGGAGAUAAUUCUGAGUCUAUAAAACUUUGCUGGAUAUAGCUCUGUUUGCAGGCUCUCAUUCCAGUUUUGAGGAGUAAGGACAUUCUUGUCCGGUCUUCAGAGUGAUGCAGUUUGGAAAAAACAACAUACCAAAGCAGUUUUCUUCCACGUGGUCCUCCAUCAGCAUAGAUGUCUGCACUAUCUGUGCCCACCAAUUUACCUAGGUAUCACAUUCAGGAAGAGAAGACUGAAAAGAGAAAGUUUUCCUCUUGGGAAAGAGAAUCUUUUUCAACUUACUGAUUGAGAGGACAUUCUUUCCAUUCUAUUUUACUUGUUAUUUCUCCCAAGGCUCGACACAAGCAGAAGAAAUUCUAGAUCACAAAUGCCAAUCGAUCUGCUCAGCAAGGACUGAAAAAAAAGUCACAAGUGCCUUUGCAAUAGAUACCUCUGCAAGCACACAGCAGGAGGACCAACAGCUGGGAGAGAAGUACAUCCAUCAGCAAUGGGCAGGCACUCCACGUUGCUCACUGCCUCCCAAAACCUGCAAUGCAGCAGGGAGCUGUGGCUUCCAUCAGCAGAGGAGCUUUACGUGUGGGGACAUGCAGGGCCCAGCAGUGAUCAUGUUCAAAUCCAGGUGAUAAGUCAGCGAUGCUCCAAGCACCCACCUACAAACACUGCACUCAGCAUGGGAACAACAGGAGGCCGUGGUCAGAGGGAACAGCUGCCUCAGCUCACACAGAUGCUGGAUAUACACACAGCAAUUAAUACAGAAAUAAGGUAUUUAAAAGCCAGUGUGACACAGUUAUGCAAGUUACAAUGAUACAUUUUG